AUGCACCGGCUUGGGGAGGCAACUGGCUCUGUUAGGCUAGGCGAGGGAGGUGGAGUAGCGAGUUGCCUCGCUUGUAUCCGGCGGUCUCGGCAGGCCACCCAGCCGGCUUUUAUGCCGGAGAACUGCUCUUCCAGCUCGUCGGAUGCCAUCGAAAGAGUGAAGAAAAUGGUGAAGGAGGAGAUGGAGAGCGGCGGAGUGGUGCGAUUCUUGCCUGUCGUAUGGCCUCGUUUAAAUAGAGGACGGACGGAAGGAGCUUGCCCGGCGUUGCGUUUAAUGCCGGCCCCGCUUGUGAACGGAUGUGUGGACGGAGUAGAUUUCUCGGCUUCCACGCGGGUUUAA
rnacentral:rRNA from 1 species